UUUUGGAUCUUGCACGGUGCACCAUCGUGUCCGAGCUCUCCAACAAGGAUUUUGACUCCUAUGUCCUCUCUGAGUCGAGCCUGUUUAUCUAUCCUCUGAAGAUUGUCAUCAAAACAUGUGGGACUACCAAGCUCCUGCUCACCAUUCCAAGGAUUAUUGAGCUUGCUGAAGAGCUGUCUAUGCCGCUUGCUGCUGUGAAGUACUCCCGUGGGAUGUUCAUCUUCCCCGGUGCACAGCCAGCCCCCCACAGGAGCUUCUCUGAGGAGGUUGCUGCCCUUAACCGCUACUUUGGUGGCCUGAAGUCUGGUGGUAAUGCUUAUGUGAUUGGAGAUCCUGCAAGACCUGGACAGAAGUGGCACAUCUACUAUGCCACCGAGUACCCAGAGCAACCCAUGGUUAACCUUGAGAUGUGCAUGACUGGUCUGGACAAGAAGAAAGCUUCAGUCUUUUUCAAGACUUCUGCUGAUGGCCACACAACGUGUGCCAAAGAAAUGACCAAGCUCUCUGGUAUCUCUGAAAUUAUUCCUGAGAUGGAGAUCUGUGAUUUUGACUUUGAACCCUGCGGCUACUCCAUGAACGCUAUCCAUGGCUCUGCUUUCUCCACCAUUCAUGUGACGCCUGAGGAUGGUUUCAGCUAUGCCAGCUAUGAAGUUAUGGGCUUCGACGCCACUGCACUUGCCUACGGCGACCUCGUGAAGAGGGUCCUCAGGUGCUUUGGCCCUUCGGAGUUCUCUGUUGCUGUGACUAUCUUUGGUGGGCGUGGCCAAGCCGCGACAUGGGGCAUGAAGCUUGAUGCUGAGGUUUACGACUGCAACAACAUGGUAGAGCAGGAGCUGCCCGGUGGUGUGCUUAUCUACCAGAGCUUUUCUGUUACUGAAGAUGCUAUUGUUGGCUCGCCCAAAUCUGUUCUUCAUUGCUUCGAGGGUGAGAACCUGGAGAAUGCUGCUCCUGUGAAGGACGGCAAACUGGCUAAUCUUCUCUGCUGGGAGGAAGAGGAUGCCAUGGAGGAGAAGGACGGCGUGCUUGCUGAGUAAGACUGGGGAAGGUGUCGAUUUGCUGCUGAGUUAUUUUUUUUUCUAAAUGUUGCGAUUGUCGUUUGGUUAUUGUGUGAAGCAGCCAAGCCAGGCUAUUUAUUAUGAAAAU
rnacentral:lncRNA from 1 species